AUGCCAGUUUCAAAUACAAACCUUCAUAAUGGAGAAAAGCCCAUCUCCGAAAUUACCGAUGCGGAACUCGCCGAAAAGCAUGGUCAUAUGAAGUUAGUAUGCUCACAGACAAGGUUCGGAAAAACCAUGAAACUGUUGUCACCAGACCAUAAAAACUACAUCACAUCAGAAACCAGUCUUGGCGGUCUAACCCAGAUGCAUGAAGUGACUCUACGGCGCAUAAUGCUGGUUAGACUAGCCAAGAGAAUAGAUAUGGACACGCAAUCCAUUACCAUCGGUAAAACGCCAAUUCCUAUAACAAAAGAGGACUUGCAGUGUAUGUUUGGCAUUCUGAUAGAAGGGGAGGAUAUAGAGCCACAUCUGGAAAUGCAAAUUGACACAUAA
rnacentral:rRNA from 1 species